rnacentral:rRNA from 1 species
CUCAGAUUGAACGCUGGCGGCAGGCCUAACACAUGCAAGUCGAGCGGUAACAGGAAGAAAGCUUGCUUUCUUUGCUGACGAGCGGCGGACGGGUGAGUAAUGCCUAGGGAACUGCCCAGUCGAGGGGGAUAACAGUUGGAAACGACUGCUAAUACCGCAUACGCCCUACGGGGGAAAAGAGGGGACCUUCGGGCCUUCUGCGAUUGGAUGUACCUAGGUGGGAUUAGCUAGUAGGUGAGGUAAUGGCUCACCUAGGCGACGAUCCCUAGCUGUUCUGAGAGGAUGAUCAGCCACACUGGGACUGAGACACGGCCCAGACUCCUACGGGAGGCAGCAGUGGGGAAUAUUGCACAAUGGGCGCAAGCCUGAUGCAGCCAUGACCGCGUGUGUGAAGAAGGCCUUACGGGUUGUAAAGCACUUUCAGCGAGGAGGAAAGGUUAAGUGUUAAUAGCAUCUUAGCCUGUGACGUUACU